rnacentral:rRNA from 1 species
GUGACUGCGUACCUUUUGUAUAAUGGGUCAGCGACUUAUAUUCUGUAGCAAGGUUAACCGUCUAGGGGAGCCGCAGGGAAACCGAGUCUUAACGGGGCGUUAAGUUGCAGGGUAUAGACCCGAAACCCGGUGAUCUAGCCAUGGGCAGGUUGAAGGUUGGGUAACACUAACUGGAGGACCGAACCGACUAAUGUUGAAAAAUUAGCGGAUGACUUGUGGCUGGGGGUGAAAGGCCAAUCAAACCGGGAGAUAGCUGGUUCUCCCCGAAAGCUAUUUAGGUAGCGCCUCGUGAAGUCAUCUUCGGGGGUAGAGCACUGUUUCGGCUAGGGGGUCAUCCCGACUUACCAACCCGAUGCAAACUGCGAAUACCGAAGAAUGUUAUCACGGGAGACACACGGCGGGUGCUAACGUCCGUCGUGAAGAGGGAAACAACCCAGACCGCCAGCUAAGGUCCCGAAGUCAUGGUUAAGUGGGAAACGAAGUGGGAAGGCUCAGACAGCCAGGAUGUUGGCUUAGAAGCAGCCAUCAUUUAAAGAAAGCGUAAUAGCUCACUGGUCGAGUCGGCCUGCGCGGAAGAUGUAACGGGGCUAAACCAUGCACCGAAGCUGCGGCAGCGACAUGAAAGUGUUGCUGGGUAGGGGAGCGUUCUGUAAGCCGCAGAAGGUGGCCUGUGAGGGCUGCUGGAGGUAUCAGAAGUGCGAAUGCUGACAUAAGUAACGAUAAAGCGGGUGAAAAACCCGCUCGCCGGAAGACCAAGGGUUCCUGUCCAACGUUAAUCGGGGCAGGGUGAGUCGACCCCUAAGGCGAGGCCGACAGGCGUAGUCGAUGGGCAACAGGUUAAUAUUCCUGUACCCGGUGUGACUGCGAAGGGGGGACGGAGAAGGCUAGGCCAGCCGGGCGACGGUCGUCCCGGUUGAAGCGUGUAGGUGGGUGGUUUUGGAAAAUCCGGACCGCUGAUAACACUGAGGCGUGAUAACGAGGCACUACGGUGCUGAAGUGGUUGAUGCCCUGCUUCCAGGAAAAGCCUCUAAGCAUCAGGUCACAUUGGAUCGUACCCCAAACCGACACAGGUGGUCAGGUAGAGAAUACUCAGGCGCUUGAGAGAACUCGGGUGAAGGAACUAGGCAAAAUGGUGCCGUAACUUCGGGAGAAGGCACGCUGGCGCCAGGUGAAGGAACGAGCUUCCGGAGCCGAGGCCAGUCGCAGAUACCAGCUGGCUGCAACUGUUUAAUAAAAACACAGCACUGUGCAAACACGCAAGUGGACGUAUACGGUGUGACGCCUGCCCGGUGCUGGAAGGUUAAUUGAUGGGGUUAUCGCGUUGCGAGAAGCUCUUGAUCGAAGCCCCAGUAAACGGCGGCCGUAACUAUAACCGGUCCUAAAGGGUAGCGAAAUUCCCUUGUCGGGUAAGUUCCGACCUGCACGAAUGGCGUAAUGAUGGCCAGGCUGUCUCCACCCGAGACUCAGUGAAAUUGAACUCGCUGUGAAGAUGCAGUGUACCCGCGGCAAGACGGAAAGACCCCGUGAACCUUUACUAUAGCUUGACACUGAACCUUGAGCCUUGAUGUGUAGGAUAGGUGGGAGGCCUGGAAGUGCGGACGCCAGUCUGCACGGAGCCAACCUUGAAAUACCACCCUUGAAUGUUUGAUGUUCUAACGCAGGCCCGUGAUCCGGGUUGCGGACAGUGUCUGGUGGGUAGUUUGACUGGGGCGGUCUCCUCCCAAAGCGUAACGGAGGAGCACGAAGGUUAGCUAAUCACGGUCGGACAUCGUGAGGUUAGUGCAAUGGCAUAAGCUGGCUUGACUGCGAGAGUGACAGCUCGAGCAGGUGCGAAAGCAGGUCAUAGUGAUCCGGUGGUUCUGAAUGGAAGGGCCAUCGCUCAACGGAUAAAAGGUACUCCGGGGAUAACAGGCUGAUACCGCCCAAGAGUUCAUAUCGACGGCGGUGUUUGGCACCUCGAUGUCGGCUCAUCACAUCCUGGGGCUGAAGCAGGUCCCAAGGGUACGGCUGUU